AGUGUACUCCCUCCGUUCCGAAUUACUUGUCGCGGGUAUGGAUGUAUCUAGAUGUAUUUUAGUUCUAGAUACAUCCAUUUCUGCGAUGAGUAAUUUGAAACGGAGGGAGUACUUU
rnacentral:pre_miRNA from 1 species